rnacentral:rRNA from 1 species
CCUACGGGUGGCAGCAGUGAGGAAUAUUGGUCAAUGGACGAGAGUCUGAACCAGCCAAGUAGCGUGAAGGAUGACUGCCCUAUGGGUUGUAAACUUCUUUUAUAUGGGAAUAAAAUGUUCCACGUGUGGGAUUUUGUCUGUACCAUAUGAAUAAGGAUCGGCUAACUCCGUGCCAGCAGCCGCGGUAAUACGGAGGAUACGAGCGUUAUCCGGAUUUUUUGGGGUUAAAGGGGGCGUAGGUGGAUUGUUAAGUCAGUUGUGAAAGUGUGCGGCUCAAACGUAAAAUUGCAGUUGAAACUGGCAGGCUAGAGUACAGUAGAGGUGGGCGGAAUUCGUUGUGUAGCGGUGAAAUGAUUAGAUAUCACGAAGAACUCCGAUUGCGAAGGCAGCUCACUGGACUGCAACUGACACUGAGGCUCGAAAGUGUGGGUAGCAAACAGGAUUAGAUACCCUUGUAGUC